rnacentral:rRNA from 1 species
AGUGAACGCUGGCGGUAGGCCUAACACAUGCAAGUCGAACGGCAGCACAGUAAGAGCUUGCUCUUACGGGUGGCGAGUGGCGGACGGGUGAGGAAUACAUCGGAAUCUACUUUUUCGUGGGGGAUAACGUAGGGAAACUUACGCUAAUACCGCAUACGACCUACGGGUGAAAGCAGGGGAUCUUCGGACCUUGCGCGAUUGAAUGAGCCGAUGUCGGAUUAGCUAGUUGGCGGGGUAAAGGCCCACCAAGGCGACGAUCCGUAGCUGGUCUGAGAGGAUGAUCAGCCACACUGGAACUGAGACACGGUCCAGACUCCUACGGGAGGCAGCAGUGGGGAAUAUUGGACAAAGGGCGCAAGCCUGAUCCAGCCAUACCGCGUGGGUGAAGAAGGCCUUCGGGUUGUAAAGCCCUUUUUGUUGGGAAAGAAAAGCAGCAGGUUAAUACCCCGCUGUUCUGACGGUACCCAAAGAAUAAGCACCGGCUAACUUCGUG